UACAGAGGUCCCAAGCGUUGUUCGGAUUCAUUGGGCGUAAAGGGUGCGUAGGUGGCGCGCUAAGUCGGGUGUGAAAUUUCGGAGCUUAACUCCGAAACUGCAUUCGAUACUGGUGUGCUUGAGGACUGGAGAGGAGACUGGAAUUUAUGGUGUAGCAGUGAAAUGCGUAGAGAUCAUAAGGAAGACCAGUGGCGAAGGCGGGUCUCUGGACAGUUCCUGACACUGAGGCACGAAGGCCAGGGGAGCAAACGGG
rnacentral:rRNA from 1 species